GGAUAGUCCACCACUGAAGCCCUCUCAAAAAAAGCCACAUAAGGAACAUCAAAAGAGAAGCGAUGAUUUCCUUUCCAAGGGAUUCAAACUGAGGCUAUAGAAUACUAGAAGGAUUAAAAUAUGGAUGAGUACAUAACAAGAUAUUGACAAUGUGCUGAUGAUGGAGCCCCCACUGCCCAACAGUGAUGUAUCUUUGGACUUGGAGGGUUUUCUUGAUGCUGCUGGUUCUUGGUCAGAUAAAAUAUUGGAGGAACCGGGGCAAGUCCACAACAAUCUGCA